rnacentral:rRNA from 1 species
GACGAACGCUGGCGGCGUGCCUAAUACAUGCAAGUCGAGCGGACUUGACAGAGCUUGCUCUGUUCAAGUUAGCGGCGGACGGGUGAGUAACACGUGGACAACCUGCCCUGCAGAUUGGGAUAACUCCGGGAAACCGGGGCUAAUACCGAAUAACAUUGAAAACCUCAUGGUUUUCUUUUAACAGGCGGCUUCGGCUGUCAAUGCAGGAAUGGCCCGCGGAGCAUUAGCUAGUUGGGGAGGUAAAGGCUCACCAAGGCGACGAUGCGUAGCCGACCUGAGAGGGUGAUCGGCCACACUGGGACUGAGACACGGCCCAGACUCCUACGGGAGGCAGCAGUAGGGAAUCUUCCGCAAUGGACGAAAGUCUGACGGAGCAACGCCGCGUGAGUGAAGAAGGUUUUCGGAUCGUAAAACUCUGUUGUUAGGGAAGAACAAGUAUCGGAGUAACUGCCGGUACCUUGACGGUACCUAACCAGAAAGCCACGGCUAACUACGUGCCAGCCGCCGCCUAAGAC